GAUCUAUGAUGAGCUGUUAAUAUUUAUCUGACUAAGGUUGAUGUUACAUCACAAUUUUAGCUCUAGAAUUACUCUGAGAUUUG
ensembl:snoRNA